AUCUUUUUACAUUUUUUCCCCAUUUACUGUUAGUGCAAUUCCAGAGAUUCAUUAGAAACUACACGUUCCAAAACUUGAUCAAAAGAAAGCUCCACAAGAGAAGCAGAAAACAUUCCUUCUUCUUCAAAAGCUGUAGAAAGGCAGCCACUGUCCCGGGGCAGGACAUGGGUCCUGGCAAUGCCAUCUGAAAGACCCACAUUUCUGUGCUGGUUGCUCUGCUGGGAAAGUACCUCCAGCCUCUAAAUCCAGGGGGAUCUGAGGGGCUGUCUCCGCUCCUGGCCCAGGGGAACCACACUGAAACGAACCUGUCCUCUAAGGAAGGGAGACUUGGGUGGUCCUUAACUUGCCAGGGAGGGGGCUGGCCUUCCUCCCUUGUCCCACAUACGAUGAGCUGUGACCGUGCACUAGUUCUUAAUUCAAGGAGGAAGGUGAGGUUUUGUGUCUCAUUUAUAUGAGCACAGGAGGUGAACCACACCACAACUCCCAGGCUGUAACAGAAACAGGAUUUUAGUAUAAUAUUCAAAUCUGACACUUACUAUUAAAUAAUAUUGCUCUCCCCAAUAGGCAAAUAGACACUGGGGUAGAGAUGUCAGGGAGCUGGAGGGGGGUCGUCCCCUCCCCUUUGGGAUUUAGGCAAAACCAGGAAAGAGCUUACGAUGUCCUCCUUCACAUCCGGGUGGGAAGAGCUGGCCUGGUGCACCCCGAGGGUCCCAGCCAUGUCCCUGCACCUGAAGAGGCUGAGCUUGUGGUGGCAUCUAGAGUGUGAUGGCUCCUUGCCAAGCGCAUGGCAGCUGAAUAGAAUAAACAGGCUAUUUUGGGGUCCCUCCCUGAGAUGCAUGGCCCACCUCCCUGCCCCCACUGCACUCUGUGCUCCAAACCCGGUGCUGAGUGCUCAGUGCAUCCACAGCACCCCAUUCGUCUGACACUGAGGUACCGUAAAGCAUCACCCAUACCAGAGGGGGCAACUGAGUCCCAGUAAGGAGAAGGGAGUGGCCCGUCACAGGAC
rnacentral:lncRNA from 1 species